GAAGAUGAGAUCAUUUCCUGGGACCUACCGAUCGACUGUUUUACUAUGACAAGGAAUCAUCCAACAUAUUUUAUUUCUUCACUUUCAAAACGUUUGUAAGUGCCUUUACAGAGAUGUUAAAUAUACUGUGAAACACAUACAACAGAUCGUACUGAAAACCAUGGGGAAUAUGAGAUAUUUUAUACAACCAAAAAAGUAUAUAGAAGCACAAUGUCAUCACAGCAUGCUCUGUGUGUAAUACCUGCUGUUUACCAGGGAACAAGAACCCAACUCAGAUAAAUAGAAAGUAAGGGAUAACACUUUUUUUCAAAUGCCAGACAAAAUUUCUCCCUGCUCUGUUUGUUCCUUGAAGCCCUGUGGAAGGACAGAGCUGGUUGGGCUCUGUGCGUUUGGCCACUCACUGUGACCCGCAGCCCAGAUCGGAUCCACCUGUCUGAGAAGAGUCUGGGACCAGGGACUGACAGCUGAGAUACAAAUUUAAAUUGUGAGAAAACAACAUGUUCUUCAGACACACAUUGUAGAUAAGCAGCAUUGCAAAAAUCCUUUCUGUGGGGAAAUGGGGGUGACCGCCCUCCAAGAACACGGAUAUGCUAUACAAUACUCUUUACGGGGGAGUAUCUUUCCCAGGGUCUUACAGCCACUUCUUUCUUCCUGGGGUUGAUCACUUCUUUAUUAAAUUCUCCAUUCUCAGCUCCUGCCUUUCAUGGUUUUGGCAUUUGCUUAAACCCGCAAGGAUGUGUGGGGCGUGCCUGGAACCUCAAUGGUCACGGGGAUCGGGCAACGAGUUUGUUCUGGGAACCCACGUUGGAUUUUAAAUUGAUGCCCUUGCUAGAAGUCAGAAAAGGCUCCCAGUGGAGGACAACUACAGAAAGAAAGUCACUCACUCGGUGAUCUGUGCUGGGAGGAAACACUGUGGUCCCCCCAUGCGGCUUUUUUCAGCGUGUGAACUGGCUGAGGAGGAGCAAUUCACCGUACCAGGGUGACUGACAUGACAGUAGGUCUGAUGUAAAGUUACUGAUGUGCCCAGUGGGGACACCCCAACCAGAAUUGUGAAAUAAAGUGCCGAGUACCUGGAGAGGUGUGCUUAUCAGUGAUAGAUGUGUGACCCUUGUCAGCCUAAAAUAUUUAUGGGAAUAGAGCAUGCUCACGCUAUGUGGGAAUGUACAUGGAUAAGACAGAGAUCCUACAGCGAUUAUGACGGAGAAGAAAGGCACGCUCUCUAAGGAAGCAUCUCUAAAUGAAGAAACUACAUCAUGUGAGCAGUGUCUACACUGGCAUUUUGUGUUAUUUCAUUCAGUGAGUCAGAAUCCUACAGAGGAGGUAAUAAAGUAGCAGAUUAUUUCAUCUCCACCCUACAAUGGGAAAUAGAAAAGUUGUGCACGCUCUUUGGCCAAGGAAGUAAAGAGAGCAGUGUCAGGUCAAAGUCGAUUUAAUCCAUCCUAGAGAAGUAAUAUUUUCAAAUGGGUAGAAAAGACAACAUCACGUGGACGCCAAAUUCCAAAGCAACAUCGAUGUUUCUGUUUGUACGUGCUUCAUUCCAAGGGGCAAUGAAGAUGUAUGAAAGGAUCAUCUGUCCUCAGCUUCUGCGAGUCUAAAGAGAUUUCAAUCCUUAAGAUAAAAUUAAAAGCUUUCUUCGGAAUGACUGAUGGAGAGCAAUAAUUAAAGCCAAAGAAAGUAUAAAGGCGUCUCAUGGAACAUGAAGAUUGUCUGGUUUUGUGAGUCGAUGACAUGUUUGCUUCCUUAGAGUGGGAAGGUGAUUUCCCUAUUGGACUUGACAUGUUAUUUCCCAUCUGGUAAGUGACAGUGUCCCACUCAUCCUGAGUCAUGGAAGAGUCUGUAAACACUGACCUGGGUUAGAAUGCUUCUGCACUUUUUCAUAUUUUUAAAAAUUUCUGAAAGCAAACAACAAGAACCCUCCAUAACAGAUCUAAAUUGUAUGGAGCCAUAAAGACAUAAACAGGCAUUAAGGAUUUCAAUACCAAAACAUUUCAAACGCGGUGGUUUUUGCACACACACAAAAAAAUCUAAAUCUAAAGAGUUCGUUCUUUUACAAAUCUCAUUUCAAACUUUCUUUUUUCCUUCUCUUUUAGAAACCGACUUCACUAAGCUGCAUAUGUGCAUGGGGAGAUCCGGGGAGCCUGCAGGCUCCGUGGCUCAGACCUCCUCCGUCCCGAGGAAGAAGCGGAGGCUGCUAGAGGGAAACAACCGCCCCAAGCGUGAGAAACCCUGCUGAUGGGCUGGCACACCUGGGGGAGCAUUUGGGUUCAUCCAAAGCCUGCUGCUCACAGAUUCUAUUUCACAAAGCCAAUUCCUAUGUGUACACCCAGUGACAGAAGUCAUGUCUGUGGGCCCCAUUGAAAGACAUCUACUACGACACGUCAAGUCACUGCCAAAGAGACAUCCUUUUUCAUUCUGAAAGCAGGGGAUGCCAUUUGCCAAAAUGCCAAAGAUGAUGCUGGCAGGGUCAGGAAGUGUGCACACGCCAACAGAGAGCCCACCAGCCUUUCAGCUGAGACGUCAGCCUUCCGAGCGGAAUCUUCGAUUGUCUUGUGUUUUCCUUAUGUCUCUAGAGUUUUGCCUGUUCUGGGCUCUCAGCACCCCAGGCCCUUGACACUAUUCAUGGUCCUGCCCGAAUACACACACGCAAGUAAGCCAUUGACAAGUAAGGACCAGAAGGGAGAGAGAGGUCAGGGGCCACUUCAUCCUACAUGUCAGCCUGAGUCCAAGACAGUCUGUCCCUGGACAGGGACGUGAGAAACACGAGCCCUCCUUCUGAGACAGCUGGGAAGAAGAGCCCCCCAGCCUGCUAGGAGGACAAAUGGGAAGCUUUUCAAAGCGUGUGUUUAAACUCCGGUUCUUCUGAGUGGCGGCUGCUUCUCGACCCCUGUGCGCUGGCCUGGAAAGCAGCACAUCCGGCCCCUGGAAACUGUGGUCUCGCCUCCCCUGCUGUCCUAGGUGGGCUGGUCCUCAUGCAGCACCUGAACUGCCCUCCACGUGAGCCAGCGAGGUCGCGGCCUGGCGGCCCUCGAGAGCUCAGUUGACAGCCAUUUGUAGUCAAGAACUGCUUCGGACACCUUCUGCAGAUCCUUGAGGCCCUGCCACUAAGAAACAGAUGCCAGCGGCUCAGGGAACUCGUAAGGAGGCACACUUGUCCUGUCUGUUUUUCCAG